rnacentral:lncRNA from 1 species
GCUGCGCACUUCGGUCUUUUACGUCGGCCUUCGCGAGCGUCUGGGCGGGUGGUAGGUGAGUGGGUAUUGCGGGCUAGUAUCCGAGCAAAAGAUGGUGGCGCAGGCCGAGUUAAGAGCUUUAAUCCUGUGAAGACAUCUUAGUGAAGAGUUUAGAGUGCUGAGAGUUGAAAGCUUGCACGUGGGAAACGUGCGGCCGGACUGCCACAUGUACUGAGGUUGAGUCGUGACGGCCACAGGCUCCGAGUUUUGGCGUGAGGAACCGCUGAUCGGCCACGGGCGCCGAACUUGCUGGCCUCCGGCAUGUGCCUGAGCGGCGGCGGAAAAACCACCUUAAUUGGGGCGGAGGGUUAGUUUUAACAGCAAAGGGCCUUUACUAAAAUGGCGAAGGCCUUCCGUCGGCGUUGUUUUAAAAUGGGAAGCCUCGACCCUGUAUUGAAACUGAGCUGUUCGAAGGCGGCGUUGUGUGCAAUUCGGAUUAAUGAAGGGGAAGGGUUUUGUGUGGAAAAACGCCUUGGAGUGUGACAUUUCUGCGAGAAUGCUUAAAUACCGAUUUCCCGCAGGAACAAUGGCGCUGUCUUCAGUGGCACAGUGGAGCAGCUCUGAAGAUGCAAAGGUAAGAGCUUAGUUAAGCUUAGUUUCCAAACUAAAGGAGUAAACCUGUUGAUUUACAGGAAUAGGAACUGUUGCAUCGUUUGAAAUUUACUUUUUUUUGUUAGAUACACGAAAAAACUUCCAGAACAUCUGGGAGAAUAUUUAAUGGAAAAUCGCUUGGUUAAAACCUGACACUUUUAACAGGUAUGUGUUGUUUUAGUACUUUAUGAUUGAGCAUAGCAUUUAAUCCACACCUAGACUAAAUCAAAUUUUUUUUGUCAGUGAACAGCGUUCUGAGUGUGGACGAGUAGCCAGUGAAGAUAAUGAAUGUCGAAUGUGACUGACUAGCAGCUUCAUUUUGAAUGAGGGUCGCUGUCUGCCCAUUGAUAGAGGCCAGAUUGUCUUGGAAGUUCCAAAGUUGCAACGAUUUCUGGCUAGUGCCACGAGGUUUACUUGACUGUUGUGUGAAAAGCUGAUAAGAAAACCAUCCAGAAAAAAGCUCUUCGUUUUACAAACAUGAAAAUAAAACAUGUAAUUUUGGAUUAUGUUCCUUUUUGUUAUUACUUUUAAAUAGGUCCUGAAAUAACAUGGGGAGCAUUAAAUGGAAAAUCCACUAA